GGCUACCUGUAUCAUUGCCUGAAAUGUUAAUUAAAAAAAAUUUAUAGCUUUCACAAAAUCGAAGUUUUUCAAUCAAAAACAAAAAAAAAAAACUAAAUAAAUAAAAGAAAUAAAUAAUUUUUCACACAAAUUAAAUCAACUAAUUUGUUCACGAAAUAACGAAAAGAUUUAUUAAAUUGUAAGUAAAGCAAAGAGAAAUCUCACCUUCCAAAUCCGCUGUCCAGCCAAGCGCAAUUCCAGGGCUGCCUAUAAGCUCAUCACGCACAGAAGCAGAUAGUUUCGGAGAAAUCCCAGCAAGUCAAUAUGGCUGGUACCGCAGGCGAAAGCGAACUCCAAGUAGCCGCUGAAGAUGACAAACAAACCCUGAUGUCGAAACUAACAAAUUCCAUUUCAUCUUUGACGAAUAGAGAAGGCCGAUUUCAAUUAAGCGAAAGCAAUUGGUCACUUUUCAAAUGCACGCUCGUCUUCCUCUUCGGUGUUGUCUUGACCAAGAAGAUGCAGAAGGUGGUCAAUGAAAUUAUGUGAAGUCGCAUUGUACAUUUUCACUGAAAUGAAAACAAUUGAGUAAAUAAAUAAAAUGCUCACUCACUUUUGUUAAUAUAA